CAAGCCCAAUGUCCAAGACUUUUGUCAUAGGCCAGAGAGAGUGAACCGGUGGGUCUCCAGUGGAAAACGGCACUGCGCCAGCCAAGCUCCAGAAGUUUGCAAUCUAAACAAACUGCCCAGGGUCCUGGAGAAGCGAUGCUGGCCGACAGUCAGCCCAGGCUGGUCCCUGACACCAGACUCAAGAAGACUUAACACUUGCGGCAUAGAAGCCACCAAGUCAGGUCUCAGCGCCUUGGGGUAACCUGCGCCGGCCUGUGCUGGGGGCCUAGUUUCUGACGAGCACCUGACUCUUCCUCGCCGGCAACCAGGAGGACACAUACCAGGUUUCAGGCUUCAGAGGGAGAGAGACGAGCACUCCCAGAGAUCUCAGCUCUUGGCUCCUUGCAGCCUCUGUGUCUGUCUCCUAGAUACGAGGCAGGA
rnacentral:lncRNA from 12 species